rnacentral:rRNA from 1 species
GACGAACGCUGGCGGCGUGCUUAACACAUGCAAGUCGAACGGAAAGGCCUCUUUCGGGGGGUACUCGAGUGGCGAACGGGUGAGUAACACGUGAGUAACCUGCCCUUGACUUUGGGAUAACUUCAGGAAACUGGGGCUAAUACCGGAUAGGAGCUCCUGCCGCAUGGUGGGGGUUGGAAAGUUUCGGCGGUUGGGGAUGGACUCGCGGCUUAUCAGCUUGUUGGUGGGGUAGUGGCUUACCAAGGCUUUGACGGGUAGCCGGCCUGAGAGGGUGACCGGCCACAUUGGGACUGAGAUACGGCCCAGACUCCUACGGGAGGCAGCAGUGGGGAAUAUUGCACAAUGGGCGGAAGCCUGAUGCAGCAACGCCGUGUGCGGGAUGACGGCCUUCGGGUUGUAAACCGCUUUCGCUCAUGACGAAGCUUUGUGUGACGGUAGUGGGUAAAGAAGCACCGGCUAACUACGUG